GACGAACGCUGGCGGCGUGCUUAACACAUGCAAGUCGAACGGAAAGGCCCUGCUCUUGUGGGGUGCUCGAGUGGCGCACGGGUGUGUAACACGUGAGUAACCUGCCCUUGACUUUGGGGUAACUUCAGGAAACUGGGGCUAAUACCGGAGAGGAGCUCCUGCUGCAUGGUGGUGGUUGGAAAGUUUCGGCGGUUGGGGAUGGACUCGCGGCUUAUCAGCUUGUUUGUGGGGUAGUGGCUGACGAAGCCUUUGACGGGUAGCCUGCCUGGGAGGGGUGACGGGCACAAGAGGACUACGGGAGGGAGCAGAAGCGUACGGGAGGCAGUAGGCGAGAGCCUGGCGGAAUGAGGGGGAGCGUGAGACGGAGACGUCGCGUGCGGGAUGCCGUGUUUCGGGUUAUGAACCGAUUUGGAAUGAGACGAAGCGUGAGUGACGGUAAUGGGUAAAGAAGCACCGGCUAACUACGUG
rnacentral:rRNA from 1 species